AAAAAUUGCAAAUUACUACUUUGCUUUACUUAUUACUACUAUUAUAGAAGCGGCUAAGAGAGGAGCUUCGGGUAGUAAGGGUAUUAUGGGAAUUUCAAUUAUUUUGGCUCUCUAGACGUGUUAUCUUUGAUUUCUCAAUCUCUGCCACGUCCAUAUAUGAAACUCAAAUCACACUGAAAGUUCAUACUCAUCUUUCUCCAGAUUUUCAUGACUUUGUCAACUCUUCUUCAAUUUUCCUUUGUCUCUUCUGGUCUUAUCUCUUGCCGCUCUGAAAUAGUUAUCAGAUCGCACUUAAAUGUAACUCUGGAUUGGAUCAACGAAUAUUUAACUUGCCCAGUACUAUUGAGGUUGCAGCAAUAUGGGAUGAUGAAAAUGAUGUUGGUGAUAUUCAUGUACCGCACGUUCAAAUUUAUACUCACAAUAAUAGAACGCAAAGAGUGAACUACUCUUUUGGGGUGCUAUGAUCCUUUACAGUAUCCUUUUCUAUUUCCAUAUGGCCAAAGUGGGUGGCAUUGUGAUAUUAGAAAGUUUCACGGGAAAGAAAAUAUGCCUAAAAAUUAUGCUUUGUCUGAUUUGGAACAAUUACCAAAUACAAACAAUUUUACCUCUGUUGACGUAUAUUUUGAUAUGGAAGUUCAAGUUAUGUAAAAAGGAAAACGAAAGAGAGAUACAGUUUCAGUUCGUGAAUACCACAGUUACAAGAUCCAUAUGAGAAACCAUGAUGAAGAUGAACUUCUACAUACAGGGAGAUUACUUCAACAAUAUUCGGUUGAUGAAUAUAUAAAAUUGGUGACUCAAAGAUUGGAUUUUAUUUUCUUCAAUCAAUAUUUGUUCGGAAUAGAUAUGUUAAAAGGACUUCUUGAAAUUUUAAGACUUGGUGAACGAGAUGCUUCUAAUGUUGAAAAUCAA